CGGCGGUUUUUGACGGAGUCUGUAAUUUCAUUCUCUACAGGCUGCUUUCCCAAGAAUUCCUUCCUAAAUCUUCGGUCUGCUUGUCAUCCACAGCAUUAACCAUUCUUCCCAGCUUUCUACCUUGUAAAUUUUUGGUGACAGGUGCCAGUGCCUAGCAGAGCAGGAGCAGCAUGACCCGGCCAAGGUGCACCAAAUGCCCUCUCAAGUCAGCGCAUCACUUCCAGGGAGCAAUGGUGUCCGUUGAAUGAAAACCACAAAAUGAAAAGAUGGGAAAAGAAGAAAAAGAGCUUUUGUGCAACAUCAGGAAGGAAGAGUGAAAUUAGGAGCAGGGGCAGAGGAGAGCCAGGCUCCCCCACGACGACACUGGCCCCCUCCUGCCGAUCAAUUGACCCGCGGGGCCUAAGGUUUGUGCCUGGUGAUGCUGUCACGGGGAGUGAGAGAUUAAAAUCCAAUGUGCUUCCGCUCUGUCUCCUUUCUCU